GACGAACGCUGGCGGCAUGCCUAAUACAUGCAAGUCGAGCGAACAGAUGAAGUGCUUGCACUUCUGACGUUAGCGGCGAACGGGUGAGUAACACGUAAGGAAUCUACCUAUAAGCGGGGGAUAACAUUCGGAAACGGGUGCUAAUACCGCAUAAUAUCUUCUUCCGCAUGGAAGAAGAUUGAAAGACGGCUCUGCUGUCACUUAUAGAUGACCUUGCGGUGCAUUAGUUAGUUGGUGGGGUAAUGGCCUACAAAGACGAUGAUGCAUAGCCGACCUGAGAGGGUGAUCGGCCACAUUGGGACUGAGACACGGCCCAAACUCCUACGGGAGGCAGCAGUAGGGAAUCUUCCGCAAUGGGCGAAAGCCUGACGGAGCAAUGCCGCGCGAGUGAAGAAGGCCUUCGGGUCGUAAAACUCUGUUAUAAGAGAAGAACAAAUUGUAGAGUAACUGCUACAGUCUUGACGGUAUCUUAUCAGAAAGCCUCGGCUAACUACGUGCCAGCAGCCGCCGUAA
rnacentral:rRNA from 1 species